rnacentral:piRNA from 1 species
UUCCAGGUCACCAUAACUGAGUCUUGGACU